rnacentral:piRNA from 1 species
AGGAAGAUAAUAACUGGGCCUCAACAU